rnacentral:rRNA from 1 species
CCACGCCCUAAACGAUGAGUACUAAGUGUUACCGCGAGGUAGUGCUGAAGUUAACGCAUUAAGUACUCCGCCUGAGUAGUACGUACGCAAGUAUGAAACUUAAAGGAAUUGACGGGAGCCCGCACAAGCGGUGGAGCAUGUUGUUUAAUUCGUCGAUACGCGAAGAACCUUACCAGGUCUUGACAUCUGAGGCAAAGCUUAAGAGAUUAAGUGGAGGUUAGCCUCAAGACAGGUGGUGCAUGGUUGU